rnacentral:rRNA from 1 species
UACGAAGGGGGCUAGCGUUGUUCGGAAUUACUGGGCGUAAAGCGCGCGUAGGCGGUGAUCUUUGUCAGAGGUGAAAUCCCGAGGCUCAGCUUCGGAAUUGCCUUUGAAACGGGAUCGCUUGAGUCCGAGAGAGGAUGGCGGAAUUCCUAGUGUAGAGGUGAAAUUCGUAGAUAUUAGGAAGAACACCAGUGGCGAAGGCGGCUACCUGGACCGGUUCUGACGCUGAGGCGCGAAAGCGUGGGUAGCAAACAGG